UCCUAACGGGUCCAGGAUCUGGGUAACGGUUUCAGGGUUAUUGGAUCUAACCCAAUUGAGCAUCGGGUUUGGUUUUGGUUUCACUUCUUCCCCGAUUCGUGUCACAAUCCAUUCCUCAUAAACCCUAUUGGAGUAUUCAAUCCGACUCCGCCGUUUUCCAAGGAAAGAAACUUCAAUAUCGACAAAUUUCUGUAAGACCCACUUCCAAUUAUGCUUCACUUUUGGUCCUACUCCGCCGUUUUAUGCUGCUUUUUAUGUUGGAUCUCUGUAUUUUCAUGUAAUCCAUAGCGUUUGUUGCCUGAUUUUUGUGUUCCUUCAUGAAUCUGUGUCAUCUCUGCUGGAAACUGUGUCCGAUAUUUGCUUUUUCAUCAAAAUGUGAUCAUUCUUCCAUGGAUUUUUCCCUCCUACUCGAGAGAUUUUAGUUGUUUCUCUUGAUUUUGUAAUCUAUUUUCCUCGUGAUAACGAUUGACAACAUGGGAUUUUUAACUGUGAUCUCUGUUAUAUCGAUACUGUUUGACACUGUGCAUCUAUUAGGUGUUUGCUAAUAUGAACUGACUGCUUAAUUUCUUUUAACACUUACUAUAAAUUGUUUGUUGUACAAUUUCUUAGUUCUUUUCCUCCCUCUCCUGAUAGAUGGAAAAGGGCAUUCUUAAGUAUUAACAGUUAUGAUGAGUUGAAGGGUUUGGCCCAAAAAUGAGAGAGUUUUAAGAUCUUAAGAACAAUUUCUUCUUAACAUUCAAAAUAUUUUUUGAAGUCCUACCUCAUUUGCUCAUUUAGUUCAUGGUUGAAUCGCUUUCCAUUCUUUGAUUCUAUUUAUUUGCAGUUUAGUUGUAGAGGUAACCUUGUUAUGUAUAUCACUGUUAUCGAAUGUUCUAUUAUGUUGUCACGAAGAAUAGGUUCAUGUAUUUCGUAUGCAUGUAUUGGUAUUUAUUUGGUUCAUAACUCUCGCUUAUUUGGUUCAUCUCUCAUUUAUUUGGUUUAUAAUCUUUUAUGUUCAUCUUCGAAUUCAUGGACGACAUUAAUGUUUCUAUUUCUAUAUAAAGGGUUGUCUAGGAUGGUUGAGAUGCAUAGAGUUUGAGUGUCAUUUUGUAUUUGUUGAGUGAACAUUUGGGAGGAACUUUGUUGACAGACUUUCUAGUGUUAGAGUAUGAGAUAUGCACUUUAUAAACACUUUGAUUAUUGAGAUUGGUUGCUCCAUGUGGAUGUAAGGGAAUUGCUUCUCUCCGAACCACAUAAACCUUUGUGUAUCUUUGUUUAACUUCUGUUUGUGGGUUUGUGAGUGCGAUCGAUCUUGCUUCCGGUUUUGUUACAACACAUUCCUCGGUGUGUGGACUUUCCACCAGUUUAAUAAGUUUGAUCAGAACCCGUGUUUCCUUGACACAACAAUUUCAACAUAUUAAACCGGUGGAAAGUCUACACACCGAGGUACCCAAUCUUGUCAAUGAUGGUCUCGUGAUGUUAUCGGGACUCCAAUGUCAAGAAUUGCACCCGAGUUGGCAUUUAGUACCGGUGGUCGAGUUACCGUGGUCAAAGAUUGGCUUUGUGUAGAACUAGAAGAUCCAAGGCCAUUGCCUAUCACAUCUUAUGUGCCACUUCUGCUUGGACCCAAUUAAAUGUACAAAUAUCUAUGCUCCAACCCCUCAUUCCA